AUCCAAGUACACCAUUAACUGCCUGCUCUCCAUAGGGUCCACCUAACACCCCUGCCAAGGCUUGCCUAUCAUGCCUCAAGAGAAAGCACAAGCUCAACCUCAUCAGCUGUCUCUCUCCAAGAACUUAAGGGAAAGGAUAUCUUCAGACCAACUCUCCUGGUUUUUGAUCUAGGACUAUUACAGCUUCCAUACUGUGAAAGCAAUAAGGAGAGCUAGAUGGUCUCUACAUCUCCUUGGAAGUAAGGGAAAUGUCCACAAAGAGGAAAAUCCAUGAAGGUGUGUGGCGGAAGAGGGGAACAGAAAAGACUUGAAACAAAAGGAAAUGAAACUCUCCAAAGGAAGAUUUAAAUUUCACACUCCCCUUCUUGCCAGGAGAGUAUCCUACACAAAGGACUGAUGUGCCCCUUCCUGGAGGUACAGUGUUAUGUAGCAUGUCUUAAAGACCUCCACCACCAAACUCUUCCUGAAAAACAAGACAACAACUAAAAGCCCUCACUACUUCCCAAUGAAAAGAGAAAAAAAAUCAAAGGCAAAUCAAAGUUUAUUUGAAUAAGUGAUAAUUCAUGAGUUCAGCAAUAUUAAAAACCAGAAAAACGUUCAGAACACUCCAUCCAUCACAAGAAAUGGUGGACUAGAUAAGCCAAGCCUGAAAGGAGAGAAACUACCUUAUUGAUUAUAACUAAGGCAUUUGGCUGUUGGAUCACUUGGCUGCCUGGGACUGGUUGAAAACCAUCGAAUUGUGACCAAUGGAAACCCAGCUGUUUCUAACACUUUUAAGUUAAGAAACUCCACAUACUGCAUGAAGGUGUCCAUGUCCUUGACUGUUGCUGAGAAUGAAUCAGGCCUCUGCUACAAUAGCAGAAUCCGCUACUUAGAGAAAUCUGAAGUUACUAAAAGAAAGGAGAUCUCCUGCCCAGACAUGGAUGACUUUAAGAAGUCUGAUCAGGAACCUGAUGUUGUAUGGUACAAGGAAUGCAAGCCAAAAAUGUGGAGAAGCAUCAUAAUACAAAAAGGAAAUGCUCUUCUCAUUCAGGAAGUUCAAGAAGAAGAUGGUGGAAACUACACAUGUGAACUUAAAUAUGAAGGAAAACUUGUAAGACGAACAACAGAACUGAAAG